GAUGAACGCUGGCGGCGUGCCUAAUACAUGCAAGUCGAGCGAACGGACGAGAAGCUUGCUUCUCUGAUGUUAGCGGCGGACGGGUGAGUAGCACGUGGAUAACCUACCUAUAAGACUGGGAUAACUUCGGGAAACCGGAGCUAAUACCGGAUAAUAUUUUGAACCGCAUGGUUCAAAAGUGAAAGACGGUCUUGCUGUCACUUAUAGAUGGAUCCGCGCUGCAUUAGCUAGUUGGUAAGGUAACGGCUUACCAAGGCAACGAUGCAUAGCCGACCUGAGAGGGUGAUCGGCCACACUGGAACUGAGACACGGUCCAGACUCCUACGGGAGGCAGCAGUAGGGAAUCUUCCGCAAUGGGCGAACGCCUGACGGAGCAACGCCGCGUGAGUGAUGAAGGUCUUCGGAUCGUAAAACUCUGUUAUUAGGGAAGAACAUAUGUGUAAGUAACUGUGCACAUCUUGACGGUACCUAAUCAGAAAGCCACGGCUAACUACGUG
rnacentral:rRNA from 1 species